rnacentral:rRNA from 1 species
UGGGGAAUUUUGGACAAUGGGCGAAAGCCUGAUCCAGCAAUGCCGCGUGUGUGAAGAAGGCCUUCGGGUUGUAAAGCACUUUUGUCCGGAAAGAAAUCCUUGGCUCUAAUACAGUCGGGGGAUGACGGUACCGGAAGAAUAAGCACCGGCUAACUACGUGCCAGCAGCCGCGGUAAUACGUAGGGUGCAAGCGUUAAUCGGAAUUACUGGGCGUAAAGCGUGCGCAGGCGGUUUGCUAAGACCGAUGUGAAAUCCCCGGGCUCAACCUGGGAACUGCAUUUGGUGACUGGCAGGCUAGAGUAUGGCAGAGGGGGGUAGAAUUCCACGUGUAGCAGUGAAAUGCGUAGAGAUGUGGAGGAAUACCGAUGGCGAAGGCAGCCCCCUGGGCCAAUACUGACGCUCAUGCACGAAAGCGUGGGGAGCAAACAGGAUUAGAUACCCUGGUAGUCCACGCCCUAAACGAUGUC